ACAUAUUCAUAGCAUACAGAGGGGAAUCCCACAUCACUACCUGGUAUAGGAAUCCUCCUCUCUCUCUUCUCUUCAAGACAAAUACCAAUCCAAGGGCACAAGGUACAUCUACCCAUAAGUCUUGGGCAUUUGAACGCUUGAUUCCCAGUUGAUGGCUGUUUGGGGAGAAUUGGGAGGUGUGGAAUUGUUGAAGGAACUAAGUCUCUCUGGGAGGCUUCAAAAGACUUAAUUCAUUUCCAGUUAGUUUCUCUGCCUCCUGCUAGUCACUUAAGGUAUGAAUUUUUGCUCUUCCAGACACCUGGUGCCUGCUACCUCUGUCCCAUCAUCAUGGGCUCUAGCCUUCCGAAACCUUAAGCCCCAGAUAAACUCUUUCUUUGGGAAUUUGCCUUGAUCAUGCUGUCUUAUCACAGCAAUAGAAAGUUAACUAAUCCAGAUAAAAUAGUUCUCUCCAAAUUUGAGGAUUCCAACCACACAUCUUAAAGCUUCAGUUUCUAAACCAAGCAAUUCAUUGUGAUCAAAGAAAGUUUGUGUACAAUUAGGUUAGAUCAAAUUCUACGUUAAUACUUCUUUCAGGAAAAUAUAUUGCAAAAGAGUGGGAGCUCAUAGUACAUUAAGGAACCCCAUUUUCUCUCGUUUGUAACUUGUGUUCUAUGCAGCUGAAAGGUCUGUUCUAAGCAGCAACUGCAUUUUAGGAGAACCCUUUUCUCUGCUUUCAUGUUCCGCUGAAAGUUCCUUAGCCACUCGAGACAACCUGUUUCUGCUUAGCAAACAUCUUCUUUGCUUCCUCAUCUUCUCUUGGGAAACGAUUUCCCUUUUUCCUCCACAUUUAAUGCCAGUCUACAUGAAUGUACUUCCCCCGGGCCCUCAAUCUCCAAAGGGGGUGUCUGCUCACAUCCUGCAUCCGCCCAGCCCCUCCAAAGCCGCGAUUACCCUCACAGAACUCUCAGAGCAAACUGGAUGCAUUGGCCUUUUCCAUCACGCUUGAUAUAUGAGUAUGUGUCUGGCGGGUUUAUUAACAGCAGACUUUAGAUGCUAAGAUAAAGUUUACAUAAUUGGGACACUCGGCAGAUUAAAAUAUAGAAGGGAAAAUUUGUUGGAAUGAUAACCAUCCUCCUCCCACUCACGCAGGGAUGCGAUAUGCAGAGCUGGAAGAUGACAGGAUGUGAGGCAUAAACGAGGAGGAUACACGGAUCCCUAGUUGAGGCAUCUCCUCCCACCCUCACUCCUCAGCACCAACACUGCAUCACCGAUAACUGCUGGACCCCUCUGGGACAGACAGGAAUGCCUUUGAAUGAAUCAUGCUGUAAGACUAGCUAAUAGCCAAGUACAGAAGAGGCCAAACUACUUCAUCUCAUGUAAAGUGUUUUGUCAAAUGCUGCAAUUUGCUACCAACUGAGAAUAUUUUCUCAGGAGACCCUGAACAAUAAAUAGGAAGCAUGCCAAAAGUCAGCACUGCUCACAGUAGGGGCUGACAAGCUGUGGGCUCUCCCAAGGGAGAAAUCUAGAAGCCUACAUCCCUCAUUGUGAUCUUUACCGUGAACUCUCAGCACAGCUCUGCAGGGCUUAUGGCUCUGGACUCUAGUAUGCAACACAGGAUUUUGUACUAUCUGCAUUUUUAUAUUCAUCUGUAUAGCUAUAAAUCAAAUUGAAAAUUCUGAGCGAACAUAACUUUUCUCUCAAUUCAGUUAUCUUGUGAAUAUAGCCUUCUAGAUGCUCUAAACUCUGUUCUAAGUCUUCAAAUGCCCAAGAACCCUCCUUAGAUUACAUAUCAAAUUCCUUCCCCAUUCAGCCAGAGAAUAAUAUAACCAUCAUGAGUGUAUGGAUUAUUUUGAGCCUCUGGUAUUUGAUACAAAGAACAGUACAGGAUAAUGGUUUUCAGAUAAUGAGGAGCAAACUAUGGACUCAAAGCAUUCCCGCUGUCUUCAUUUUAAAAUUUAUAGAGCAUUCAAUUGUGAGUGUGGAAGGGAAGGGGCUGAUGUGUGUUCCACUGUUUGUGGGAAUUUGUUCUUUCUUUACACCAUGUAGUCCUAGGGAUCAAACUCAAGCAUCAGGCUUGGUGACAAGACCUUUUACCCAUGGAACCGUCUUGCUGGCCUAAAGCAGCUACCUUCCUGCUAAAACUGCAUCUGCAUGACAUUGGAUAUCUUAGUUACCUGUCUCCUUGUGAUAAAAGCAACUUAAAAAAGAAUUGGUUUACUUUGGCUCAUGGUCCCAGAGUCUUCUCCAUCAUAUGGAAAUCAUAGCAGCAGGAACUUGAGGCAGGAAUCUUGCAUUUACAGCCAGGGAGCAGAGGAAGAUGAAUGCCUAUGUUUGGCUAGCAUCUUCCUUUCUACAGUCCAGGAAUGGAGGCCAGGGAAUGGUAUCAUCCUACUAUAAACAAAAAUUAGGGUGGGUUUUACCGGAGGUGGGGGAGCACACAUUUAGUCCCAGCACUCAGGAGGAAGAGGAAGGCAGAUGUGAAUUCAAGGCCAGUCUGGCCUGCAGGGAGAAUUCCAGGGCAGCCAGGACUGUUAUAUAGAGAAACCUUGUCUCAUCUGAGACAGACUCAAGUCAGUAUCAUAACCAUGAACUGCUAAAAAGAAAUUUUAAAAAUUAUUUAAAUGCUUCCAACAUAUAUUAGCACAAAGUUACCAUUCCUAUUCCAAAAGGGAAGAAUUAGAGCAUAGUGAAGAAUGGUCUGACCAAACCUUGACCAAGACCCAUCAAGGAAAAUGGGACUUAUGACAAACUCAUGUGGACUCCAGAGGCACUGGGUAGCCCCAACCCUCCAGUUCUGCAGGUUACUGCAUGGACAAUCUCUUAAUGCAUCUCCUCUCCAUGUAGACAGCUUUCCUCCGCACGUGUCCUGUGAUUCUGCAGUCUCCACUUGGAUCUCCAAUUCAGUGUGGGCGUCACCUUCACAAUGUCACACAGUGGUUUCUCCAGACCUCCUUCCAAGGAAUCUGCUGCUGCCACGCAUUGCCUAGCCUUGAAUGGUCUUCAAAAUGGAUGUGCAAGACUCCCUGACUCCCUCAAUCUUGCACGUUCUAUGUCCGUGCUUUGCAAAGGUACCAUACGAACAACAUUACCGAGUUCCACUGCUUGCAUAACAUGUGGCCUGGACCCCUUAGAGCACCUGUGUUACAAUCCCAGGAAAAUACUUCCCUAGGCAGUUGUUGUUGAAGAAAGUGAGUUUCCCCCAGCUGCAUUCCCCUGUUCAAGCCGUUUCCUUUCAAACAAAUGUGGAUUUUAACGACCUGGAGCCUUGAGUGAGCUGUCUUCCCUUAAGACCCUUGAAGGUGGGAUGUUUGCUACUCAGAGUUACAGCCUGUCUAUCAGCACACACCUUGCAGCACUUUAACUUGCUUAGGAUCUUUUCCUCCUCUACAAACUGCUGCUUUUUAUAUCUUUCUGUCCAGCAUUUGGCUUUUAUUUCCGUGUAGACCUGGAUAAACUCAGUAAAAAGAACCACGCCACUGAUCAUGUGUUGAAAUUUCUUCCACCAAACAGAUUACUCUGUUAUCCUCACAUUCAGUUUCUCUCAAGUUCUCAGGACAUGGGCAGAAUGAAGAAAGAGUAUUGGCCAAAGUCUCACACAAGAGCCCCUAUCCUAAUUCCUGAUAGCGUCCCUGUGCCCUCUGAAACUCUGUGAGCUGGACUUCCGCUAGCUACAUUUACCGCACCAGCCUUGUCUUCCGCCAGAAUGCCCUCUUCAGCUGUCCCCAAUCUUUAGAGCUUCUCUGACCCAGAGUUCAAAAUUCUUCCACAUUCCUGCCAACAACACAUCCAAAGACCUAAGAACCACUUGACUGGGUUUAUCAUGGCCAUGGCCCCCUUUCUUGGUACCAGUUCUCUUAGUUUCUGUGAUAUUCUAUUUAGAUAAACUUAAAGUAGAAAUGGUUGAUUGUGGUUCACAGUUCUAAGUUACUAUUCAUCACCCGGAAGUUGGGGCAGGAAUCUGGGGCAGUUCUAGGAUGCUCUCCAUCUUGCAGAAGUUGGGGCAGGAGUCAGGGGAGCUGCUCAUCUCCCAUUCACAGUCAGAAAUAAAAGAUGGGUGUUCAUGCUCAGCCAGCUUCUUCCUUUUUAUUCCGUUCAGGACCCAAGCCCAAAGGAUUGCGCCACUGUUCUUUAGAGUGGAUCUUCCUACUUCAGCUAAUGUGAUAAAGGUAACCUCACAUAGGCAUGCCCCAAAGCUAGCCUACUGAAAAUAAGCCAUCACAAAUGUAUCCGGAGACUUCUCUUUUAAGUGAUUUAGAGCCUGUCAAAUUGACAAUUAAUCCUAUCACAUUGGGACAGUGAAUAAAAUUCUGUGUUUUACUUUCUUGUCUAUAAAAAGAGACUAUUGGUAUUUAUUGAGUAGAUAAUAGAAUAUUUAUAGCAAUGAUGUUUCCCAUUUUACAGAUUUUCACAACAUUUAUGGACUAGGUAAUAAUUAACAUGAAUAACUAGCAGGGCUGAAAUUGUCAUCUAUAAAGUGCUUGUAGGAAGGAUAGCAUUUAUUCUAAAGAACAGAUGAUAUGAACUAAAUGAGUUGAUAUAUGUAAAGCACUUACUAAAGAGUAUUUGAUAAAUGUUAGUUAUUAUGACAAUCAUCUACAGAAUCUUUCCAAUAUUCUGAGUUGAAAGAAAGCAAAAUUGGGUAGCAAGUAUUAGAUUUUUCACUAGGAAUCUAGGUUCUUAGCAUAAAGAGUAUCUCUUAGCUUAUAAAGAACAACUCCAAAUACGGUCAUGGAAGUAAGUCAUUUUCCUCCUCCACCCAUUUGUGCUCUUUCCCUUGUAAAGCAAUGUGCAGGUAGAAGCGGAGAAUCGUGUCACCAGGGAUGAGGAACUGGAAGAAAAGUUUGUAUUUCAGGCCACUCAUCCCUGACUUUUUUCAGAUCUCACAAUGCUGUGAGCAAAUCCUUCCUGGAUGAGAGAAGACACGCACGUGUAAGCUGGAGACACCAAAUGAUGAAGUAUACAGCUUCCUGUUUGCCUCGACUUGGGGUUUCAGAUGUGGACUCUCUCGCCUCUCGGCUUCCAGCUCAACCACCAUCUGUACCGGCUGCCACACUUCCCUAUCAUGAUGAUGAUGGUGUCUUAUCCCUCUGGAACUGGAAGUCCAAAUAAAAUCUUCCUUCUAGAA